UACGUAGGGGGCUAGCGUUGUCCGGAUUUAUUGGGCGUAAAGAGCGUGUAGGCGGCCAGGUAGGUCUGGUGUGAAAACUCGAGGCUUAACCUCGAGAUGUCAUCGGAAACCAUCUGGCUAGAGUCCGGAAGAGGAGAGUGGAAUUCCUGGUGUAGCGGUGAAAUGCGCAGAUAUCAGGAAGAACACCAAUGGCGAAAGCAGCUCUCUGGGACGGUACUGACGCUGAGGUGCGAAAGCGUGGGGAGCGAACAGG
rnacentral:rRNA from 1 species